rfam:Ixodes scapularis strain Wikel colony gcontig_1108378870222, whole genome shotgun sequence.
AAGAUCAUGCUUCAUAGGAUCAUUUCUAUAGGCUGAUCGCCGAGUUUCAACCGUAAACUCGGAACACCCUCAACCACGAUGAGGAGUCGUAGGGUCUCCACCUGAGCGCGAAGCCGGUCAGGUGACUUGGGUUUCCUGCCUGGGUUCCUGCCAUUGAUGACCGUUCCCACCGGGCUUGGACGCCCGCUGGGAGGGUGGAGACUCAUUCUGAGUGGC